UACAGGGGGUGCGAGCGUUAAUCGGAAUUACUGGGUGUAAAGGGCGCGUAGGCGGCAUGACGUGAGUGGUGUGAAAGCCCCGGGCUUAACCUGGGAAGCGCACUGCAGACUGUUGAGCUAGAGUAUGUGAGAGGGUGGCGGAAUUUCCGGUGUAGCGGUGAAAUGCGUAGAGAUCGGAAGGAACGUCAAUGGCGAAGGCAGCCACCUGGCACAAUACUGACGCUGAGGCGCGAAAGCGUGGGGAGCGAACAGG
rnacentral:rRNA from 1 species